UACGUAGGGUGCGAGCGUUUAAUCGGAAUUACUGGGCGUAAAGCGUGCGCAGGCGGUUUUGUAAGCCAGAUGUGAAAGCCCCGGGCUUAACCUGGGAAUGGCAUUUGGGACUGCAAGGCUUGAGUGCGGCAGAGGAGACUGGAAUUCCUGGUGUAGCAGUGAAAUGCGUAGAUAUCAGGAGGAAUACCGAUGGCGAAGGCAGGUCUCUGGGCUGACACUGACGCUCAUGCACGAAAGCGUGGGGAG
rnacentral:rRNA from 1 species